GACGAACGCUGGCGGCGUACUUAACACAUGCAAGUGGUGCGACGAACCAGGCUUCGGCCUGGGGCGAAGCCGCGAACGGGUGAGUAACACGUGGGCAAUCUGCCCCUUUGAUCGGGACAACCCGGGGAAACCCGGGCUAAUACCGAAUGAGGUGGCGACUCAUGAGAGUCGUCACGAAAGGAAGCUUCGGCCUCCGCGAAGGGAUGAGCCCGCGGCCCAUUAGCUUGUUGGUGGGGUAAUGGCCUACCAAGGCAACGAUGGGUAGCUGGUCUGAGAGGACGAUCAGCCACACUGGGACUGAGACACGGCCCAGACUCCUACGGGAGGCUGCAGUGGGGAAUCUUGCGCAAUGAGCGACAGCUUGACGCAGCAACGCCGCGUGAGGGAAGAAGGCUUUCGGGUCGUAAACCUCUUUCAGUUAGGACGGAGCUUUAUUGGUUAAUAACCAAUUGGAGUGACGGUACUUUCAGAAGAAGCCCCGGCUAACUACGUGCCAGCCGCCGCAGUAA
rnacentral:rRNA from 1 species